GACGAACGCUGGCGGCGUGCUUAACACAUGCAAGUCGAACGGAAAGGCCCUGCUUUUGUGGGGUGCUCGAGUGGCGAACGGGUGAGUAACACGUGAGUAACCUGCCCUUGACUUUGGGAUAACUUCAGGAAACUGGGGCUAAUACCGGAUAGGAGCUCCUGCUGCAUGGUGGGGGUUGGAAAGUUUCGGCGGUUGGGGAUGGACUCGCGGCUUAUCAGCUUGUUGGUGGGGUAGUGGCUUACCAAGGCUUUGACGGGUAGCCGGCCUGAGAGGGUGACCGGCGACAAUGGGACUGAGAGACGGCCCAGACUCCUACAGUAGGCAACAGUGGGGAAUAUUGCACAAUGGGCGGAAGCCUGAGGCAGCAACGCCGCGUUCGGGAUGACGGCCUGCGGGUUGUGAACCGCUUUCGCCUGUGACGAAGCGUGAGUGACGGUAAUGGGUAAAGAAGCACCGGCUAACUACGUG
rnacentral:rRNA from 1 species